rnacentral:sRNA from 1 species
UUCGUCUGUCGUUCAAGAGGAUGAGAACCUCCGAAGGAGGUUUGAGCCGAGCGCAGCGAGACCACGUUGCUUUAGCAACGGCCCGCAGGGCAAGCAUCAAAGAUGCGCGUAAUCCUCUCUCGCCGACCA